UCCUGUGACGCGAGUGGCGGACGGGUGAGUAACACGUAGGCAACCUGCCCAUCAGACUGGGAUAACCACGGGAAACCGUGGCUAAUACCGGAUAAUCCUUUCCCACACAAGUGGGAAAGUUGAAAGGCGGCCUUUUGGCUGUCACUGAUGGAUGGGCCUGCGGCGCAUUAGCUGGUUGGUGGGGUAACGGCCCACCAAGGCGACGAUGCGUAGCCGACCUGAGAGGGUGAUCGGCCACACUGGGACUGAGACACGGCCCAGACUCCUACGGGAGGCAGCAGUAGGGAAUCUUCCGCAAUGGACGAAAGUCUGACGGAGCAACGCCGCGUGAGUGAAGAAGGGUUUCGGCUCGUAAAACUCUGUUGUCAGGGAAGAACGCCGACGGGAGUAACUGCCCGUCGGGUGACGGUACCUGACCAGAAAGCCACGGCUAACUACGUGCCAGCAGCCGCGGUAAUACGUAGGUGGCAAGCGUUAUCCG
rnacentral:rRNA from 1 species